AUUGAACGCUGGCGGCAGGCCUAACACAUGCAAGUCGAGCGGAGCGGCGGACGGGUGAGUAAUGCCUAGGAAUCUGCCUGGUAGUGGGGGAUAACGUCCGGAAACGGGCGCUAAUACCGCAUACUAUCAGAUGAGCCUAGGUCGGAUUAGCUAGUUGGGGGGGUAAAGGCCUACCAAGGCGACGAUCCGUAACUGGUUGGAGAGGAUGAUCAGUCACUCUGGAAUUGAACCACGUCCCACACUCCUCGGGGCGGCAGCAGUGGGUAAUAUUUGACAAUGGGCAAAAGCCUAAUCCAGCCAGGCGGGGGGUGUGAAUAAGGUCUUCGGUUUGUAAAUCAUUUUAAGUUGGGAGGCGUUACCAACAGAAUAAGCACCGGCUAACUUCGUGCCAGCAGCCGCGGUAAUUC
rnacentral:rRNA from 1 species